CAUAAGGUCAAGCUAAAAAGAGCGCAGGGUGAAUGCCUUGGCACUGGGAGCCGAUGAAGGAC
rnacentral:rRNA from 1 species